UACGGAGGUUGCAAGCGUUAUCCGGAAUCACUGGGUUUAAAGGGUGCGUAGGCGGCUUGGCAAGUCGGAUGUGAAAUCCCGAGGCUCAACCUCGGAACUGCACUCGAAACUGCCUGGCUCGAGUCCCGGAGAGGGUGGCGGAAUUCCCGGUGUAGGGGUGAAAUCCGUAGAUAUCGGGAGGAACACCAGUGGCGAAGGCGGCCACCUGGACGGUGACUGACGCUGAGACGCGAAAGCGUGGGGAGCAAACAGG
rnacentral:rRNA from 1 species